GACGAACGCUGGCGGCGUGCUUAAUACAUGCAAGUCGAACGGAAAGGCCCUGCGUUUGUGGGGUGCUCGAGUGGCGAACGGGUGAGUAAAACGUGAGUAACCUGCCCUUGACUUUGGGAUAACUUCAGGAAACUGGGGCUAAUACCGGAUAGGAGCUCCUGCUGCAUGGGGGGGGUUGGAAAGUGUCGGCGGUUUGGGAUGGACUCGCGGCUUAUCAGCUUGUUGGUGGGGUAGUGGCUUACCAAGGCUUUGACGGGUAGCCGGCCUGGGAGGGUGACCGGCCUCAUUGGGACUGAGGUACGGCCCAGACUCCUACCGGCGGCAGCAGUGGGGAAUAUUGCGGAGUGGGCGGAAGCCUGAUGCAGCAACGCCGCGUGCGGGAUGACGGCCUUCGGGUUGUAAACCGCUUUCGCCUGUGACGAAGCGUGCGUGACGGUAAUGGGUAAAGAAGCACCGGCUAACUACGUG
rnacentral:rRNA from 1 species